UCUCUGAAGGAACAGAGAAAAUUGAGGUCUCAGGGCUUUUUUUCCAUUCUUUAGUCUGACUAAAGGUGACUCCAGCUCAGUGCAGCGAGGGUCAUCUCCCUCCCCCAGAUCAAUAUUUUAAUAUGACUUAUCAGAGCAAGAAUGAAUUGUUUACUUUAAAACCUCAGGAUCCCAUAAAGGGAGAGGGAAAGGUGUCCACUGGAAGCAGAGGCUUGCAGCAGCUGCCCACUGCUGGGAACUCAGAAAAGAAACCAGGACUCCAAAGAUUCGAGUACAGACAGUCAGCAAAAUGUCCUGCGAGAGAAUCCUGGUUCUGCCAAGCCCUAACAACACACCAGAGGACCCUUUGGCUGUUGUCUCCGAUGGUCUUUGAAACCCCCUCUGCUGAAGUCUGCAGUGUGCAUCCAUGACUCCUUCCAUGGGCUAAGGACCUGCUCCCAGAGCUGUGGAGUGUGACAAUGGUGUUUGUGUCCAGUCUAUCAAACGCCAUUAUCACACUAAAUAGUUCCUGGCAGACAAAGCAUCACGUCAGGAAGGUUUGGGACCUCUGGCAGUACAUCUUCCCACUGUGCUGAGGAAUAAACAACCAUGGUACAUGUACAGCAGGAUGACUCUGCUCCUUCUUUUAGAGGCAAAAGCACCAGAGUAUGUGAGAAAUCCAUACUCUGACACAAGCGCUUCCAGAUCCCCAUUGUAAAGCACACCAGACAUCUUAAGGAAUCAUCACUAUACUGUCAUCACUAGGAAAGUGGAUUUCCUUGGCAUUAAUAGGGCUGCGUUUACCUCUGAGAGGUCAGCUUGUGAUUUUCUUUUUCCCAUUGAACUGACUAGGACAAUAAAACUGAUGGCAAUUAGGCAAUGGGGUGAAACUCCAUCUCUGACUUUGGCACCAAACUACAACAUACAUUUGGAAUAUUAAUUGGCUGAGAUGCUCACAACAUUUUUCAAACAGAACACUUCCCAAAAUUCUGAUAAAAAUCUAUUGCCUCUGUUAUAAACAUGUAUUAUAGUAUUGGCUUCUCGCAAAGUAUUAAAGUAGAUAUUAUAUAAUGUUAGAAAUGCUU